rnacentral:rRNA from 1 species
AACGAACGCUGGCGGCAGGCUUAACACAUGCAAGUCGAACGAGAUCUUCGGAUCUAGUGGCAGACGGGUGAGGAACACGUGGGAACAUCCCUUUCAGUUCGGAAUAACGUUGGGAAACUAACGCUAAUACCGGAUACGACCUUCGGGAGAAAGAUUUAUCGCUGAAAGAUUGGCCCGCGUCUGAUUAGCUAGUUGGUGAGGUAACGGCUCACCAAGGCUACGAUCAGUAGCUGAUCUUAGAGGAUGAUCAGCCACAUUGGGACUGAGACACGGCCCAAACUCCUACGGGAGGCAGCAGUGGGGAAUAUUGGACAAUGGGCGCAAGCCUGAUCCAGCCAUGCCGCGUGAGUGAUGACGGCCUUCGGGUUGUAAAGCUCUUUUGUCCGGGAAGAUAAUGACUGUACCGGAAGAAUAAGCCCCGGCAAACUUCGUGCCAGCCGCCGCGGUAACAC